GAUGAACGCUGGCGGCGUGCCUAAUACAUGCAAGUCGAGCGAACGGACGAGAAGCUUGCUUCUCUGAUGUUAGCGGCGGACGGGUGAGUAACACGUGGAUAACCUACCUAUAAGACUGGGAUAACUUCGGGAAACCGGAGCUAAUACCGGAUAAUAUUUUGAACUGCAUGGUCCAAAAGUGAAAGACGGUCUUGCUGUCACUUAUAGAUGGAUCCGCGCUGCAUUAGCUAGUUGGUAAGGUAACGGCUUACCAAGGCAACGAUGCAUAGCCGACCUGAGAGGGUGAUCGGCCACACGGGAACUGAGACACGGUCCAGACUCCUACGGGGGGCAGCAGUAGGGAAUCUUCCGCAAUGGGCGAAAGCCUGACGGAGCAACGCCGCGUGAGUGAUGAAGGUCUUCGGAUCGUAAAACUCUGUUAUUAGGGAAGAACAUAUGUGUAAGUAACUGUGCACAUCUUGACGGUACCUAAUCAGAAAGCCACGGCUAACUACGUG
rnacentral:rRNA from 1 species